AGGUUGUGGCCUUGAGCCGUGGCUUUCGGAGCUAACGCGUUAAGUAGACCGCCUGGGGAGUACGGUCGCAAGAUUAAAACUCAAAUGAAUUGACGGGGGCCCGCACAAGCGGUGGAGCAUGUGGUUUAAUUCGAUGCAACGCGAAGAACCUUACCUACUCUUGACAUCCAGAGAACUUUCCAGAGAUGGAUUGGUGCCUUCGGGAACUCUGAGACAGGUGCUGCAUGGCUGUCGUCAGCUCGUGUCGUGAGA
rnacentral:rRNA from 1 species